AGAGUUUGAUCAUGGCUCAGAUUGAACGCUGGCGGCAGGCCUAACACAUGCAAGUCGAACGGUAGCACAGAGAGCUUGCUCUCGGGUGACGAGUGGCGGACGGGUGAGUAAUGUCUGGGAAACUGCCUGAUGGAGGGGGAUAACUACUGGAAACGGUAGCUAAUACCGCAUAGCGUCGCAAGACCAAAGAGGGGGACCUUCGGGCCUCUUGCCAUCAGAUGUGCCCAGAUGGGAUUAGCUAGUAGGUGGGGUAACGGCUCACCUAGGCGACGAUCCCUAGCUGGUCUGAGAGGAUGACCAGCCACACUGGAACUGAGACACGGUCCAGACUCCUACGGGAGGCAGCAGUGGGGAAUAUUGCACAAUGGGCGCAAGCCUGAUGCAGCCAUGCCGCGUGUAUGAAGAAGGCCUUCGGGUUGUAAAGUACUUUCAGCGGGGAGGAAGGUGUUGUGGUUAAUAACCACAGCAAUUGACGUUACCCGCAGAAGAAGCACCGGCUAACUCCGUGCCAGCAGCCGCGGUAAUACGGAGGGUGCAAGCGUUAAUCGGAAUUACUGGGCGUAAAGCGCACGCAGGCGGUCUGUCAAGUCGGAUGUGAAAUCCCCGGGCUCAACCUGGGAACUGCAUUCGAAACUGGCAGGCUGGAGUCUUGUAGAGGGGGGUAGAAUUCCAGGUGUAGCGGUGAAAUGCGUAGAGAUCUGGAGGAAUACCGGUGGCGAAGGCGGCCCCCUGGACAAAGACUGACGCUCAGGUGCGAAAGCGUGGGGAGCAAACAGGAUUAGAUACCCUGCUAGUCCACGCCGUACACGAUGUCGAUUUGGAGGUUGUGCCCUUGAGGCGUGGCUUCCGGAGCUAACGCGUUAAAUCGACCGCCUGGGGAGUACGGCCGCAAGGUUAAAACUCAAAUGAAUUGACGG
rnacentral:rRNA from 1 species